UAUAAAGACCUGACUUUGUGUAGAGACCUGU
rnacentral:piRNA from 1 species